rnacentral:rRNA from 1 species
UGUCCCUACGGGGCGCAGCAGUGGGGGAUAUUGGACAAUGGGGGGAACCCUGAUCCAGCGACGCCGCGUGAGUGAAGAAGUAUUUCGGUAUGUAAAGCUCUGUCAGCAGGGAAGAAAGCAAUGACGGUACCUGACCAAGAAGCCCCGGCUAACUACGUGCCAGCAGCCGCGGUAAUACGUAGGGGGCGAGCGUUAUCCGGAUUUACUGGGUGUAAAGGGAGCGUAGACGGUUCUGCAAGUCUGAAGUGAAAGCCCGUGGCUUAACCGCGGAACGGCUUUGGAAACUGUGGAACUGGAGUGCUGGA